rfam:Triticum aestivum genome assembly, contig: Triticum_aestivum_CS42_TGACv1_scaffold_377777_5AL
GACAUACUCCCUCUGUCCCGAAUUAUUUGUCAUAUAAAUGGAUAAAAAUGGAUGUAUAUAGAAUUAAAAUACAUCUAGAUACAUUUAUUUCUUCGACAAGUAAUUCCGGAUGGAGGGAGUACAUC